ensembl:lncRNA
CUGUGGCUGAGCCCAAUCAGUGCAGGCAGAGCACGGGCUCCCUGUCUACCCAUCCAUCUGCCCAUGCCCUCACCGCUUUUCCUCCAGCCCUGGAACCCGCUGGCCCUUCGGCUCUGCUGCGUUAAGGAAGGAAGACCAGAAGGGAGGGUGGUGCUCACCCAUCCCAGGACAUACUCAUCCUUGAGCAUCACAUUCUUCGCAGGAAGGUUCACCAAAUGACUCAGCUGGACAGAGCUGAAUCCAGUCCAGGACAUCACAGAAGUCAGGAGGAACCGCAAAAAGGAACUGCUGUCAUUGCCUCCUUAUUUUGCUGAUGUGUGAGUGCUGAAGUCAGCUCUGGGACAGACGUGGGGCUCACCUCAAAUAAGGUCACCGACAACCAGAGGAAGAAACCCUGGGGUGCCUGCAUGCAAAUCCCUCUGUUCAGCUCAUUGCUUCAGUGAUAGAUGGAUCCUGGAUGGUGCACAUACCCAUUUUGCACGCUUAUCACAGGACAAGACGACGUUGCGAGGCUGCACCAAAUAGGAGUAGGAGUGGGCAAUGGGCUGAAGGCUCCUAUUCCUCACUAUCACACUGGAUGUGUAUUACCCAGCCAGCAGGCUACCAGGACACUUUGGGGUUCACCGUGGACUCUCCUUGGGGAGAGAAGCUUGCGCCUCCUACUCUCCAUUUUACCUGGGAUGGGACCAGUGUGCUUUCUAAAGGAGAAGCAGCCUGCCCUUCUGCUGUGGGCAUGAGAAGGGUGAUGAAGAAGGGAAAAUUAGGGGAAAACAGCUUUCCUUCAGCAGCAUCUCCCUUGCAAAUGCUCCUUGCCCCACAUCCAGAAGUUUGCCAGAGCUGGAUAAAGCUGAUUUCCUCCCCUGGCGGCAGCAGCGGAUGCAGAGAACAAUAGGUACGGUGACUGCUCAGGGGACAACUCCUGCUCCCCUGUGCUGUGCCCAGCCCUCAGCUGGGGAUGGAGGGACCCACCCGAGGGGAAAGCCAGCUCCAGAGGAGUGGUUUGGAAAGGAACAUUGCAAAAAUUCAUGGAAAGCUGUGAUUGAGCGAAGAAUGAGGUCGCGCAGCCGUUCCAGGAAAGGUGCAGCAAGAUAUGUGUUUACUGCAGAAAUUCUAUGGAAUGGGUAAAAAUAAAAGAAUCUCACUUCUGGGAAGGUGCAGGAGGUCAGAAGAACCUGAGAGCAAGCAGUCACAGAGCUGUGACCUGUCCCAGGAGCCCCUUUUUGGUGCCUGAUCACUGAUGUGAGGCUGCUUAUUGCAAAACCUGCAGCGGGACGUAUCCAGUUAUCACUGUCUCUGGGUAAUGUAGAUAAAAUGUUUGCUUUUUUAUUUUUACCUCAGUAAGUCCUUAAUCCUCCCAACGUGGGCUGACUGCAUCUGGUUGCUCGUCAGCAUCCACUCUGGGCCACCACAGCCUCAGGAUCUAUUUGGGAUUCCACACCUCCCCAAAAGCUGUUCUCCAGUUUGGCUGGUGCAGUUAUCCAUCCCAAAUGCGGCUCUUUACUUCUCCAGGUUUGGUCUAGCUCCUUCCAAAUGAUCACUGUGAAUUUAUUCAGAUCGUUGCUAGUCGUCUGCCUUCCAGACGCCUUGCAGCCCUCCCAGCCCAGAGUUACUGUAAUGCACUCUUCAGUCAAUCAUCUGCACUGCUAACGCAAAUUGUGUAUGCCUGGGCACCAGACCCCUUGCAGUCUGGCAGAGAGUAUCCAGAGCCAUAUACUGAGCAUGAGAUGUCUCCUGUGUGUUGUGUACCCACUGCAUGGCCUUCGCCUGCCUCUUGAGGGUGACCAGGAGAUGUGGGAUGAGCAGUCUCUGAGCUUUGGGGAUGCAGCACAUCCUUUCCAUGCAGUGUCAGAGGUUAGCCAUGUUUAGCUAUUUAGAGCUUGGCAGUGAGUAGGAAGGAGGGAGAAAGCAUAAGGGACAGGCGUAUGUUCUCAGAUGCUCCAUAACGAUGUCAUCCGAGGAUGAUUUACAUCGGAGCUGGGACAUAUGGUGUGCUUUAUCACCAGGAUGCGUGCUGACACCUGAUUACAUGCCCACAUUUCUUCUUCUUGGCUUUACACCUCGCUCAUUCCCUGCGGAGGCACCGGGUAUGGGUCCUCAAAGUGGAGCAAUACUGUCCUUGGGUUGUGGGAUGUCUGAAAGGGGGUUCCCUGCAGACAUCUCCUGGCCUUGGUCUGCACUCAUCUUGGCCUCUGGGAGCUUGCUGGGGAGCCAGUGCACCUCUUAGCUCCCAGGUGCUAAAAUCCAUCAGGAUUGGCUCCUGGGAAGGGAAAAAGCCAAGGAUGAGGGUAACUGGGGAAAACUGAUGGCAUUAAACAUGUCAUCAUGUUUACUGUUGGCUAGAAAUGAUUGACGUUUUUCUACAUUGUUCCUACACAUUUGCCUAACUUGUUCUUAAGUGUUUCCAGUGCUGCACUCCUUUACUUCCCAGGCUAAUUCAUACCUGUCCUUAAUUAACCCUGUCAUUAGGGAGGUCUCCUCAAGUGUCACACGCAUGUGCUGCGCUUUGAUCCACCAUAUCACAUCCUACCCAUCAUAGACAAGGAGAACCAUGCACUCCUUUCCCUGAAGGGACAUUCUGCCUCUGAGGUCUGUUGGAAAGGCUCCCCUCUCUUUCUUUUUGCCCGUUUCCUUCAGUUCUUCAUCAUUGGGUUCUGUUUUCAUCAUCUUUCCUUCAACCUAUGGCGCUCUGCCCACUUUGGAUCCUCCCAUGGCACUCCAGCUGAGAUUUCAACAGGGGUGAGCCAUACCAAAGGGCAACUCAGUGUGCUUCACACCCAACCACUGUGUUAAAUCAUCCCAUCUAACAGGAAAGAAAACACUGCUGGCUUUCAUGGCCCUGUUGUAUUGGUGAAGAUGGAUAUGAUGAUGCAGAAGGCCACAGGAUACUGCAGCAUUGGUCGUGCUCUCCUUCCAGGUUGGGAAAAUGAUUUUCCAUAGUGGAAAAAGCAUCUUUCACAAUCCAGAUCUCUUGCAGGAGGGAAUCUGAUUUUGUUGAUAUUUUCAGGCCGACUUGGGUUUUAGCUUGCCUUGUUUUGCAAGGAUGAGAACAUUUUGUGCUGAUGAAAUCGUUCGGCUUAAUUGCACACUAAAAGCAUGUUGAUGUUUAUAUUAUGUGAGUAUUAAUUUUAAUCUCCAAUAUUAAUCAGUAGCAAUGUAAACAAUGUAUUGAGUAUUAUCCUUGCCAGGCUCUAUUUGUAUGUAAUUCAACAUUUACAACAGGUGUUUAAUAUUUUAUAUUGUGUGGCAAUAUUUCUCUGUCAUUGUUCAUCAGGGACAGGAAAAGAAAUAAAGGGUCUGAAGUGCAGUGAAGGAGUUUUCCUUAUGGGAAGGGCAGUGAAACUCCUUUUUUUUUCCCCCAACUUUCCACUUGGGGAAGGGAAAUUCCAGAAGUGGAACCCUGUGGGAGGAAUUGCUGAUAAAACAGCCCUGGAAACUCCAGAGUUGAUUACCUCAAAGGAAAAGUUUUCUGUAUUUUGCAGAAAAUGAAGAAGAUUAAAGGCAAAACCUAGACUGGCCAAAUUUUGCUUUGAUGGGGAUGUUGAUUUGGUUAAGUAGCUGCCCAGAAAUCAUGAUUCAACACGUCUUGCUCCCCUUCACCUAAAUUUUAACUGUUACCUCCCUGGCUGGACUGAAGGCCACACGUUCAGAGCUGGUUGAUGGCAUGUGUCUGAGAAUCAAGACACAUAAAAAUCCUCUGCGUGAUAAAUUUAUCAUAGAAUCCUAGACUCCUAGAAUGGCCUGAGUUGCAAAGGACCACAAUGCUCAUCUGGUUCCAACCCCCUGCUAUGUGCAGGGUCACCAACCAGCAGACCAGGCUGCCCAGAGCCACAUCCAGCCUGGCCUUGAAUGCCUGCAGGGAUGGGGCAUCCACAGCCUCCUUGGGCAACCUGUUACUUAUAUUUUUGCUUGUGACUUUCAGCCAAGUUUAGAGGCCAGAGGGAGCGACCUGCCACCAUUCGUCUUUGGCGUCACUGCCUGGGGAUGGAGAUCUUAGUGCAGAUGUCCUCUUCAGUGUAGAAGAUGCUUUGGAACCUUAUUUUUGGUUUCCAAAGGGAAACAGCUCUUGCUUCUCAGAGCUGGAGGAGGGCUAAUGCAUCCGGUUGUCUUCAAAAGUUAUCUGAGCUCUCAUGCAAAGCGUUACAUAAGAGCUGAACACUGCUAUUACUUUUAAGAACUUAAUCAUAGAAGGUUUUUUUUUAUAUACAUAUGUUUUUGGACUUUUAAACUACAGUGGUAUUAUUAUUAUUAUUAUUAUUGUGAUUAUUUUUCAGGAAACCAUUUACUUAAAAUAUAUUUUAAUAUUGUUCCAACAGACGUGAGUACAGGAAAUAAAGCAGCCACAAUUUCUGCACAUAAGCACUGAUUUGCAUUAUAUUUCCCCACCAAAAAAAUGUAUAUUCGUAGUUGCUAUGAAACCAGAAGUUUUGCUUAGAUCAGAUCAUUUUGUUCUGUUGUCAUGAGUAAAGGAACGGGAUGAACAAUGCACCGCUAAUGGUUUUCGCUUUAAAUCUGCUUAAAGAAAACCUUUCACCUCCCACACUUUCCCAACAAAUAAGGUUUUUUUUUUUUAAUGGGGUUUUUGGUAAGUUUAGUGCUGGUGAAAGUGCCUUCUGCAGAAUAGGUGGGAGAGGCAGCAAGAAGGGUGCUGGGGCCGUGUGUUGGCCCUUGGGAUUUUGCAGGGAGCUGUUCCUGGGAUCUAUCACUGAUUAAGAGUUCCUUUUGGUUUUGCUCUGGUUGGUGCCCUGAGCAAUAUCUGGGGCUCUGAAGGUCCUGUGCCUUGGGGGAGAGCAGACUGGAUGUGUGAUUUUUGUUUGGACAACCUUUUCUGGUCGUCUUGUUGAAGAAAGCUGUGAUUCAUUGGAACAGGUUGCCCAAGGAGGCUGUGGAUGCCCCAUCCCUGCAGGCAUUCAAGACCAGGCUGGAUGUGGCUCUGGGCAGCCUGGUCUGCUGGUUGGUGACCCUGUACAUAGCAGGGGGUUGGAACUGGAUGAGCAUUGUUGUCCUUUGCAACCCAGGCCAUUCUAGGAGUCUAUGAUAGUGAAAGGUUCACUUGACUCCCAGAGCUGGGUUUUUAAGGGGAAAAAAACCAUAUAAAAACAAAUCCAAAAAGAGAUGAACUACUAGGACUAAAUCAUCUUUGUGUGUCAACGUGCCUGGGCUUGGGCAAAGGCAGUAGGGUCUCCAUUUCUUCGGGUUGCUUCCACGUAUCUAGCCUUUCUAUGAUAGGUUUGUGGUUGGAAUAGAUGAUCCUAGUGGUCUUUUCCCACCUUAAUGAUCCUAUGAUUUCAUCUAUCAUUCUAUCUCUAUCUUGUAGUCUACAUCUACGUCUAUCUUUCUAUCUGUCUCAUCUCUACCUCUAUCUUGUCUGUCGACAUCUAUGUCUCUGUAUCUAUAUCUGCACUUCUCUCUCUCUCUCUCUAUUUCUGUGCAGAUAAAGAUAGAUAAAUAUGUAUGUAUGCAUGCUAUAUAUGUAGAUAUAUCCUCUAUAGCUUUAAAAC